UUAAUUAAAUGGCCGCAGUAUUUUGACUGUGCUAAGGUAGCAUAAUCAUUAGUUUUUUAAUUGAAAGCUGGAAUGAAGGGUUGGAUGAAAAAAAGACUAUUUUUGUUUAAUUAUAUUAUAAUUUUAUUUUUAAGUUAAAAAGCUUAAAUUAUAUUAAAAGACGAGAAGACCCUAUAGAGUUUUAUAUAAAUUAUUUUUAAUAAUAUUAGGAUUAAAUUUUUUAUUUUUAAUUUAUAUUUAAUUGGGGUGAUUAAAAAAUUUAUUUAACUUUUUUUUUAUUUUAAUAUAAAUAAAUAAUUUCUUGAUCCAAUAUUUUUGAUUAUAAGAUAAAAUUACCUUAGGGAUAACAGCGUAAUUUUAUUAGAGAGUUCUAAUCGAUAAUAAAGAUUGCGACCUCGAUGUUGGAUUAAAAUUUAUAAUUGGUGUAGAAGCUAAUUAAUUA
rnacentral:rRNA from 1 species